rnacentral:tRNA from 1 species
CGACGUGUAGCUCAGCAGCCAGAGCACCGGGCUUUUCACCCGGCGGGCGCAGGGGCGGAACCUGCCACGUCGG